UACAGAGGGUGCGAGCGUUGUCCGGAAUCACUGGGCGUAAAGCGCACGUAGGCGGACUCUUAAGUCAGGGGUGAAAUCCUGGAGCUCAACUCCAGAACUGCCUUUGAUACUGGGAGUCUUGAGUUCGGGAGAGAUGAGUGGAACUGCGAGUGUAGAGGUGAAAUUCGUAGAUAUUCGCAAGAACACCAGUGGCGAAGGCGGCUCACUGGCCCGAUACUGACGCUGAGGUGCGAAAGCGUGGGGAGCAAACAGG
rnacentral:rRNA from 1 species